GCGGAGGCUUUACUGAAGGAAGAACAGGGACAGGGUUUGUCUGGUAUGAUUAGGGACUAGGAUGGUGUACGUGGAACAACUCCUGGUAAGACCAGGGUUGAAGUGAGAAGUGGAAUUGACACAGAGAGCAGGGGCCCGCCCUAUCCAAGAGGCAGCAGAAUGCGGGGACUGACAGCAAACAAGAACACAUCAGUGGGUUAUCAAGGAGGCAGAAUGACAAGGUCGCUUUGCAUUUGAAAACUGUGACCUUGGCAAGCUGAAGUGGCUGCAUCCUAAAUCUCUAUUUCCUCACCUGUAAAAUAAGCCUAACAGUAUUGUUUGAAGACUAAAUGAGAGAGCUCAGUGAAACACUAGCACCCUUCAAGGCCGAUUGUGGUUGGACAAUGACUCUUCAUUUCCCUUGAAAGAAGAUGAAAGAAUCACACAUUGAGGUGCCCAUAAACCACCCCCAAGUACUCUGAUUCAGUGUGAGGCCUGGGCAACUGUACGUCUUCAGUGAAAUUGGAAGUGGAGAACCACUGCCAUAAGUGAGGGUAGAAAAGGAAAGUGUAGAAGAGAGGAAAAACAACGUGGAAGUGUUCUGAUGGGACGGAAGAAGAUCGGGCCAAGGAAAGAAGAAUGUUGUGAAGAUGCAAGCAGCCAAUUUGUGCUCCAUAAAAAGUAAAAUGUUGGUAUUAUACAUAAAGCCAUUUGUUUCUUUUUCAUGGGAAGGUAGAGAAAUUAAAUGUGAAGGCAAUGGGGAUUGGCAUAGGAAUAAUGGAAAACAAAGUUGAUGGUUCA
rnacentral:lncRNA from 1 species